GGCAAGAUGGCCGAGUUGGUCUAUGGCGGUAGACUCAAGCGAACAGCUUACCUGUGUUCCACUCAGGAUUCUACUCUCGAAAGAGGCAGGGGUUCGAAUCCCCUUCUUGUCA